AUUGAACGCUGGCGGCAUGCUUUACACAUGCAAGUCGAACGGUAACAGGGUGCUUGCACCGCUGACGAGUGGCGAACGGGUGAGUAAUGCGUCGGAACGUGCCGAGUAGUGGGGGAUAACGCAGCGAAAGUUGUGCUAAUACCGCAUACGUACUGAGGUAGAAAGUGGGGGACCUUCGGGCCUCACGCUAUUCGAGCGGCCGACGUCGGAUUAGCUAGUAGGUGAGGUAAAGGCGCACCUAGGCGACGAUCAGUAGCGGGUCUGAGAGGAUGAUCCGCCACGCUGGGACUGAGACACGGCCCAGACUCCUACGGGAGGCAGCAGUGGGGAAUUUUGGACAAUGGGCGAAAGCCUGAUCCAGCCAUGCCGCGUGUCUGAAGAAGGCCUUCGGGUUGUAAAGGACUUUUGUCAGGGAGGAAAUCCCUAGUGCUAAUAACACUGGGGGAUGACAGUACCUGAAGAAUAAGCACCGGCUAACUACGUGCCAGCCGCCGCCGUAA
rnacentral:rRNA from 1 species